rnacentral:rRNA from 1 species
UACGAAGGGUGCUAGCGUUGUUCGGAAUUACUGGGCGUAAAGGGCGCGUAGGCGGUUCGGCAAGUUGGAUGUGAAAGCCCAGGGCUCAACCCUGGAAUUGCAUUCAAGACUGCCUUACUUGAAUUCGGUAGAGGUUGGUGGAAUUCCCAGUGUAGAGGUGAAAUUCGUAGAGAUUGGGAAGAACACCCGUGGCGAAGGCGGCCAACUGGACCGACAUUGACGCUGAGGCGCGAAAGCGUGGGGAUCAAACAGG